UCCCUUUCACCGGUUAGAUAAUCGCUGCCUGCUCGCAAUCGCAGUUCAUCCCCAACCCGCGGCUCUUCCCAACCGCGGCGGCCUGCGCACGGCCCCCUCCCUCGACCGCCCAUCCAACGAGCUGAGUUGCCGCCGGCCAGAGCCUCGUCGCGCAGUCACCCGGCGCCGAAUAGCAGCACGUCGACGCCGCGCAGCAGAGGCUCAUGACCCAGGUACUCGCGGCCCAAGGUUUGGCGGCGAGACUUCUUCUACCCAGGAACUCGCCACCGCGAAGCACUCCCUGGGUGGCGUGGAACCCCAGCGUCGAGCAGCAGGGGAAUCGCCUACAUUGCGCCGGCAAGGCUUAGAACUUUAGAAGAACACCAAGGGUUCUCGCGAUCGGGUGCUUGGCGCCACCCCUGUUCCGCUCGGCAUCACAAGCCUGUCGCUUCGGCUAUGGACGCGGUUGGUUCAUGCAGAGUCUGAGACUCUGCUCUCCAAGGUUACGAUCGAGCUCGAUGGCGUCCCUGCGCACGCCUGGGACCUCUACACUGCCAGCAAGCUUCUCGCUGGGCACUUUUGGAUGCAACUCUGAGCAUGGAUGACAUGUCCACGUUCAGGCUUACUGCUCGGACCAAGGAUCCGGCUGCCAUCCCCAUCUCCAGGAUGAUGUGUCACUCUAGGUAAUCGAGUCUAUGAAACUUCCACAGAGAAUAUAAGGGGCCGGAGGAAGUAGUUUUCAAUCACACUUGCUGGGGGGGAGGGGGGGAGGUUAUUUUAUAGGAUGAGUAAUGUAUCUAAAAUUUUCUAAAAUAUAUUCUUUUGGUAUGUUCGAGAGAAGAGAGAAGAAAUAAGAGUAGUAAUUUGUAUUUUUCAGGCAUCUGAAUUUGUUGAAACUGACAGGAUCAAAGGAUAACUCUGAAAUAAUUUUGCGGGUUUUCGGGGGAGCUGAAAAUACAUUAAUACUACUGCUUUAUUUAUAAUACUCCAUGUUAAAGCAACAUAUCUUGGCCGGGUUGCUAUCGUGGUGCUCGUCUGCGGACGGCUCGCUCCGCCGUCGUGGCCGCGCCGGCGAUGCCUCACAGCAUCGUCAAUUCGUCAGGCAGGACCAGCAUUGUGGCGGUCUCUGGAAUUGGAGGGCACAGGAUGGUGUGCAGAGGGCGGGUUGCUGCCAUGCCUGGAUGGACGACGACGGACGGGUGGCGGUUAAACCAGGCGGCAGAGGCAGAGCGGAGUCUGGGAAGGCACACCGGCGGCGGGGUGAAACUGCAACUGGUGGGUGGAAGAUCAAGAGGCUUCGAGGGAUUGGACGGAAAGCGAGGUGAGUUUGGGGGUUGUUCUGCUGCUUCGUCGCCGUCUGAACUCUGAACGCGUCGGGGUCGCCGAAAGCCGGUAGGUUUACAAAGAGACGGAUUUAUUUAUUUUUCUACUAUCAUCGGUUGGUCUACUUCAAUACUUGUACCAAACAUAAACAUUGAGCAAAACAUUGAAUCCAUACAGACCUGCAAUAAACUUCAUGCAUGUGUCGCAAA